CAUUUAGAGGAAGUAAAAGUCGUAACAAGGUUUCCGUAGGUGAACCUGCGGAAGGAUCAUUACCGAGUGCGGGAACCCAGUCGGGUCCCAAUCUCCCACCCGUGUCUACCACACCUAGUGUUGCUUUGGCGGGCCCACUCCUCCGGUGUUCCGCCGGGGGGGUCGUCCCGGGGCGCGGUGUGCCCCCGGGGCCCGUGCCCGCCAGAGGCACUCACUGUGAACGCUUUUGUGAAUGCGAGGAUUGUCUGAGUGACGAAAUGCAAUCGUUCAAAACUUUCAACAAUGGAUCUCUUGGUUCCGGCAUCGAUGAAGAACGCAGCGAAAUGCGAUAAGUAAUGUGAAUUGCAGAAUUCCGUGAAUCAUCGAAUCUUUGAACGCACAUUGCGCCCUCUGGUAUUCCGGGGGGCAUGCCUGUCCGAGCGUCAUUGCGAACCCUCAAGCACGGCUUGUGUGUUGGGCCGCCGUCCCCUCGUUUGGAGGGGACGGGCCUGAAAGGCAGCGGCGGCGUCGCGUCCGGUCCUCGAGCGUAUGGGGCUCUGUCACGCGCUCAAGGAGGGGUCCGGCCGGGGCCAUAGCCUCUGAAGGUCAAUUCUUCCAAGGUUGACCUCGGAUCAGGUAGGAGUACCCGCUGAACUUAAGCAUAUCAAUAAGCGGGAGGA
rnacentral:rRNA from 1 species